rnacentral:misc_RNA from 1 species
CAGUGGUUGAAAUGAGUGCAU